UAAUACAUAAAAUUUAACCAGGGCCUAUUCACAAUAACUCAUAAUCACAAUAAGGGCUUACUAGUUUACCUACAGUUAAUUACACAAUAAUUAAUUUAUAGCGUAGUGCUAACAAUAAGGCCCAAUUUAAAUACACAACCCUAUAACUGCGGAGUUCAAUAAUAAUCUGAUAAAAGAGUAACUUAUACAACCAAAAUUAAAUAACAAAAAAUAUAAAGUUUACAUUUAUAACUCUGCGGAGAAGAUUGCAGAGCUUCAAUCGAAUCAGCUGCUUCCUAGUACCUGAGAGGUUUGGAGAGAAGGGGGUGAGUUUUGCAACUCAGUGAAUAAUAAUAAAUAAUACACACCACAUACAGGCAAGCAAAAUGCACCCUAGUAUACUGAAUGAACACACAAC
rnacentral:lncRNA from 1 species